UGCAGAAUCCCGUGAACCAUCGAGUCUUUGAACGCAAGUUGCGCCCGAAGUCGUGAGGCUGAGGGCACGCCUGCCUGGGUGUCA
rnacentral:rRNA from 1 species